AGUGAACGCUGGCGGUAGGCCUAACACAUGCAAGUCGAACGGCAGCACAUUAAGAGCUUGCUCUUACGGGUGGCGAGUGGCGGACGGGUGAGGAAUACAUCGGAAUCUACUUUUUCGUGGGGGAUAACGUAGGGAAACUUACGCUAAUACCGCAUACGACCUACGGGUGAAAGCAUGGGAUCUUCGGACCUUGCGCGAUUGAAUGAGCCGAUGUCGGAUUAGCUAGUUGGCGGGGUAAAGGCCCACCAAGGCGACGAUCCGUAGCUGGUCUGAGAGGAUGAUCAGCCACACUGGAACUGAGACAAGGUACAGACUCCUACGGGAGGCAGCAGUGGGGAAUAUUGGACAAUGGGCGCAAGCCUGAUCAAGCCAUACCGCGUGGGUGAAGAAGGCCUUCGGGUUGUAAAGCCCUUUUGUUGGGAAAGAAAAGCAGCAGGUUAAUACCCCGCUGUUCUGACGGUACCCAAAGAAUAAGCACCGGAUAACUUCGUG
rnacentral:rRNA from 1 species